AAAUAAUCAAACUCCAAUAACUCCUAUCUCAAGCUUUCAUUCUGGCUUCAUCAAAUAUAUCAUAUUACGUGAAGUCUUGCUUGAGAAUACACUGAGCACUUAGUAGUGGAAGGUAAAAGAAAUUUGCAACAACAAGUCUUAACAACUCUAAUAGAAUCAUAUGUAAAUUAUAAUUAAAGCUUAAGAAAUAUAAUCAAAUAUUGAUCAAGCUCAAUUAAAUUUUUAAAUAAAUUAU
rnacentral:lncRNA from 1 species